AUGAACGCUAGCUACAGGCUUAACACAUGCAAGUCGAGGGGCAGCAUUGGGAUAGCUUGCUAUCCAGAUGGCGACCGGCGCACGGGUGAGUAACGCGUAUCCAACCUUCCCUAUAGUAGAGAAUAGCCCGGCGAAAGUCGGAUUAAUGCUCUAUGUUGUGUUUUGAGGACAUCUGACGAACACCAAAGGUUCACCGCUAUAGGAUGGGGAUGCGUCUGAUUAGCUUGUUGGCGGGGUAACGGCCCACCAAGGCGACGAUCAGUAGGGGUUCUGAGAGGAAGGUCCCCCACAUUGGUACUGAGACACGGACCAAACUCCUACGGGAGGCAGCAGUGAGGAAUAUUGGUCAAUGGGCGAGAGCCUGAACCAGCCAAGUAGCGUGCAGGAUGACUGCCCUAUGGGUUGUAAACUGCUUUUAUCAGGGAAUAAAGUGCGGCACGUGUGCCGUUUUGUAUGUACCUGAUGAAUAAGGACCGGCUAAUUCCGUGCCAGCCGCAGC
rnacentral:rRNA from 1 species